rnacentral:rRNA from 1 species
GGAUUAGAUACCCUGGUAGUCCACGCUGUAAACGAUGUCGACCAGCCGUUGGGCUCAUUUAAGGGUUUAGUGGCGCAGCUAACGCGAUAAGUCGACCGCCUGGGGAGUACGGCCGCAAGGUUAAAACUCAAAGGAAUUGACGGGGGCCCGCACAAGCGGUGGAGCAUGUGGUUUAAUUCGAUGCAACGCGAAGAACCUUACCAGCCCUUGACAUCUGGCGAAUCCUGCAGAGAUGCAGGAGUGCCUUCGGGAGCGUCAAGACAGGUGCUGCAUGGCUGUCGUCAGCUCGUGCUG